rnacentral:misc_RNA from 1 species
CAUGAUAUGAUUCUGGAUAGAUCUCAAUGUUUAUUAAGAAUAUGUCCAUCUAUUUGUGGCAGUUACUUAGUAUCUUUGUCAAGAAUCAUUUUUUGUUUAUGAAUAAUAAAUUAGUGGUAUCCAAGUAAAUGAGGAGGAUGACAACUUAUCUGAACUCCUGAUGCUUAUGUAGAAGAGUGAAUCUUUCACUGAUUUUGUGCACCUGUAUGGUGUGGACAGUG